rnacentral:rRNA from 1 species
GACGAACCGUGCGAACGUUGUUCGGAAUCACUGGGCUUAAAGGGCGCGUAGGCGGGCCGUCAAGUCAGGGGUGAAAUCCCUCAGCUUAACUGAGGAACGGCUUUUGAUACUGGCGGCCUCGAGGGGGGUAGGGGCAUGUGGAACUUCCGGUGGAGCGGUGAAAUGCGUAGAUAUCGGAAGGAACGCCGGUGGCGAAAGCGACGUGCUGGACCCUUUCUGACGCUGAGGCGCGAAAGCCAGGGGAGCAAACGGG